AUGGCUUUGUUGCCCUACCUGACCUUGAGUACAAAGAAAACAAAGGGUCCCGUGUGAACACUGCCGGACUCGACCCUUUCUAGGCUUCCGCAAGUGCUAGGGGCUCUGCUUCUAGGAAUGGUAAGUGAACUUCCCCUACCUUCCCCUGGAGGGCGCCACACAGAGAUGUCUGGAUUUCCGCCGCACAGUGAUGCCACCUGGCAGUCAUGUGACAUCAUAUAAUGUGAGGGGCUUGCUCUUGGAAACAGGCUGUGCUACAACUGAGGUCUCUCCACCAAAAUACUGAUAACCAGCUCAGCUCAGGAUUUAAGGGGAGAGAAUCCUUCUCCCUUAAAUGUGACCACAUGAGCUGCCGGUCCCUUUGGACUCAGGACCCACAGCUGGACAGAUGUCACAUGGUGGAAUAUUGUCUUGGAUAGAAUUUCACAGUACAGGACCUGCUCACACAGAUACCCUAUGCAAGUCUCCAGGAGCCUUACUUGUCCUUUUGAAAUUUAAUAUUCUUAAUCCUUCCCAAUUAGACGGAUACAAUGGAGGGGCAGGGGACAAGAAACUGCAAAUUAGAAUCCAAGGCCAAGCCCCUUCUUCCUCUAGGGAAGAUAAGCUAUCAAGCAUUUGCUUUUAAUGAACACACCUGAGAAAAACCAACUCCCAAAUGGGCAUUGGAAUAGGGUGACAUAAAUAUGGAAUAAGUGGAGGAGCUGACAGGGCAGUGAUUUUCACAAUAAAUUGGAGUAUUCUCUCUGACAAAAGCUGAAAUUCCUAACAAAGAGAUGGUCUUGAUCUCGGGCCAACUUCUGAAGUUUUCUUUUACACUCAACAUUAGUUAAUUUUUCUUUAAUCCAGUGUGUGCUGAAACUGCCGUUCUCUUCCUCCCUCCAAUGUGUGUUACGUUUGACCUUCACAUGAGCUUGUCUGUCUGCAGAGCUGGCCUGGCCCAGAACGUUAUGUUUUUUUUCCCAUAAUCACCGUGUGCUUUCAUCAUAGCUGUUAUCGUUUGUUAAAGCACAGCCAGAUGGACUCUGUGUCCCCAGUCCCUGAGUUAGCUGACCGCCAGGGCAGGGAGGCCAUGUUGCUCCACACUUUUUUGAAGAAGGCCUUACCUUGAUUCCAUAUGUUUCAGAAUUAGCUGUGUCAUCUACAAGAGAAGGCCAAAGGUACACAUUUUACAAAUGAAGGAAGAGGCAACCCCAUGGACUGAAAUGUUCUCUGAAGUAGAAUUGACCGCAAUCAGGCCUGGCAGGCCUGGAGCAGAUCCUGACUGCAGCAGGUGCUGUCGUGGUAAGAGUGAGUCAUCUCCGGAUCUGGUGGUUUAGGAGUGUGUGGCACCUCCCCCUUCUCUUCCUGCUGCUCCAGGCAUGAGAAGUGCUCGCUCCCUCUUUGCCUUCCGCCACGUUUGUAAGUUUCCUGAGGCCUCCGAAGCCGAGCAAAUGCCAGCAUCAUCCUUCCUGUACAAGCCUGCAGAACUAAUGAGUCGCAUGGCUUCACACAGGUGUCAAGGAGCCUGGCAAGCUCCCUGCUGGGAGCCAUUUACCAGCUGCAACUCCACCCUACGGAAGAGAGAGUAGGCAUCUGGGUGGACAAUGAGUUGUUCCUGCCACCAGGAUCUUAUGUUUAUUCACUGCCAUGAUGACCUGAAUUAUUUUGGAUAGAAGACACUUCAGGAUUCAAUAGGAAGGAUCAGUGAGGCAACAGGAGUGGCGGCAGAGAAAGAACCACUAUGAAGUUUAAAGAGACACUUAGAAACAGAAUGGUCAUGAACAACGCCCAUAUAUGUUUUUUCAUUCCUUUAUUUUCAACCUCUCUGAAUCAACAUUGGAUUUUGAAGCCCCAUCUGAGUAUUUGCCAUUUAUCAGUAAGUGUAACUGUCAUAUUUAUUGAGAUUGCAGAUUUGUUAUACUAACUUCUGCUGUCUUAUUUAUGAGUUUCCCUUCGCUAUGCUUUCUUUGCCAUUUGUCUCCCUUUUGUGACUAGUAAGCAGGAUAGGAUGGGCAAUACUGUAGUAACAAACUAGCCCCAAGUCUCAGUGACUUCGUACAAGAGGCAUUCAUUCUUCCUCCUGCAGUGUCUUCUGUAGGUAAUGCAACAGUCCAGGGCAGCCCCUCUCUGCAAUGAUGCAGGGAUCUAGACUUUCUUCCAGGGCUGAAACUAGGAUGAGGCAAGUAAAGCACUCCAGAUGCAAAAUUUAAGGAGGUGCUCUUUCUCAGGUUCAUGGUCACCUCGCAAGCCUCACCUUAGUCCUGGCCCUGUUUUUUCCAUCUAGUGGCUGCACUCUUCAACACAAAGCCUACACUGGUUUGCCUCACAAUUGGGUAAUUGAGCAACAAAUUUGAUUACAGUGUAGCAAAGACAAACUCAUGUCUGCAAUUUUAAAAUAAGCUACAAGAGUGGGGCACGGUGGCUCACGCCUGUAAUCCCAGCAC
rnacentral:lncRNA from 1 species